AUAUCUUUCUCGGCCUCUUGACUAUAUCCGUUCAUAUCAGUUUAAUAUCUGAUACAAGGAUCUACGGAUCCAUGAGAUAUUAAUUUAAUUUUUUAUGGGAAGGUUUCGGCUUUGUUGUCGAGCCCUUGAGUGUUGCUUGGGCAUUGCACUGAAGCCUUGGUUGACGCAUCCCAA
rnacentral:snRNA from 2 species